rnacentral:rRNA from 1 species
UAACCAUGCNAGUCGAACGGUGACUGGGGCUUCAGAAAACGGGAUCAGUGGCGUUCGGGUGCGUAAGAAAUGGGCAACCUGCCCCAGACCCUGGGAUAACCUCGGGAAACCUGACCUAAUACCGGAUACUCCGACCGAACCGCAUGGCUCGGCCGGGAAAGGUCCGCCGGUCUGGGAUGGGCCCGCGGCCUAUCAGCUUGUUGGUGGGGUAACGGCCCACCAAGGCGACGACGGGUAGCUGGUCUGAGAGGAUGAUCAGCCACAUUGGGACUGAGACACGGCCCAAACUCCUACGGGAGGCAGCAGUGGG